CAACGGAUUUGAAAAUGCAGUCUCACCUAUUUUUAUCUUUUUACACACUUCAUCCACUUUUGUCCGUUGAUGAUGCUUCUAUGCAUAUAAAUCAAUGGUAGAUUUGUUGUUUGACUGGUUCAGGCAUUCAGCCUCUCUUCUGAAACAAAAUCAGUCUCAGUUGUCAUCUUAAUUCCAAAUCUCUACAGUUAGUCAAGUAUUUUAGAAAGCCCUAUAAAUUAACCUGUUCAUUCAUGCUCUUGCACCAAUCACUUGCUCUUCAUUAACAAGCUCUGCAGGCUAAAGACAGCCAUGGCUCAAUCUCUCUGCGCCCAUGCUCUUGCUGCUUUGCUUUUAG
rnacentral:misc_RNA from 1 species